GCGGCUGUAGUGUAGUCUGGUUAUCACUCUGGCUUGCCAAGCCAGCGACUCGGGUUCAAAUCCCGACAGCCGCA
rnacentral:tRNA from 1 species